UACGAAGGGGGCUAGCGUUGCUCGGAAUCACUGGGCGUAAAGGGUGCGUAGGCGGGUCUUUCAGUCAGGGGUGAAAUCCUGGAGCUCAACUCCAGAACUGCCUUUGAUACUGAAGAUCUUGAGUUCGGGAGAGGUGAGUGGAACUGCGAGUGUAGAGGUGAAAUUCGUAGAUAUUCGCAAGAACACCAGUGGCGAAGGCGGCUCACUGGCCCGAUACUGACGCUGAGGCACGAAAGCGUGGGGAGCAAACAGG
rnacentral:rRNA from 1 species